rnacentral:rRNA from 1 species
CGCGGCCUAKCAGCUUGUUGGNAGGGUGAUGGCCCACCAAGGCUUCGACGGGUAGCUGGUCUGAGAGGACGAUCAGCCACACUGGGACUGAGACACGGCCCAGACUCCUACGGGAGGCAGCAGUGGGGAAUCUUGCGCAAUGGGCGAAAGCCUGACGCAGCAACGCCGCGUGGGGGAUGAAGGCUCUCGGGUCGUAAACCCCUUUCAGCAGGGACGAAACUGACGGUACCUGCAGAAGAAGCCCCGGCCAACUACGUGCCAGCAGCCGCGGUAACACGUAGGGGGCAAGCGUUGUCCGGAUUUAUUGGGCGUAAAGAGCUCGUAGGUGGUUCGGUAAGUCAGGUGUGAAACCUCCAGGCUCAACCUGGAGACGCCACUUGAUACUGCUGUGACUGGAGUCCGGUAGGGGAGCGUGGAAUUCCUGGUGUAGCGGUGAAAUGCGCAGAUAUCAGGAGGAACACCAGCGGCGAAGGCGGCGCUCUGGGCCGGUACUGACACUGAGGAGCGAAAGCGUGGGUAGCAAACAGGAUUAGAUACCCUGGUAGUCCACGCCGUAAACGUUGGGCACUAGGUGUGGGUCUCAACCAACGGGAUCUGCGCCGUAGCUAACGCAUUAAGUGCCCCGCCUGGGGAGUACGG